rnacentral:rRNA from 2 species
AAAACUUUCAACAACGGAUCUCUUGGUUCUGGCAUCGAUGAAGAACGCAGCGAAAUGCGAUAAGUAAUGUGAAUUGCAGAAUUCAGUGAAUCAUCGAAUCUUUGAACGCACAUUGCGCCCAUUAGUAUUCUAGUGGGCAUGCCUGUCCGAGCGUCAUUU